CCUACGGGUGGCUGCAGUGGGGAAUAUUGGACAAUGGGGGGAACCCUGAUCCAGCCAUGCCGCGUGUGUGAAGAAGGCCCUCGGGUUGUAAAGCACUUUCAGUGAGGAAGAACGCCUGGUGGUUAAUACCCAUCAGGAAAGACAUCACUCACAGAAGAAGCACUGGCUAACUCCGUGCCAGCAGCCGCGGUAAUACGGAGGGUGCGAGCGUUAAUCGGAAUUACUGGGCGUAAAGCGCGCGUAGGUGGCUUGAUAAGCCGGUUGUGAAAGCCCCGGGCUCAACCUGGGAACGGCAUCCGGAACUGUCAAGCUAGAGUGCAGGAGAGGAAGGUAGAAUUCCCGGUGUAGCGGUGAAAUGCGUAGAGAUCGGGAGGAAUACCAGUGGCGAAGGCGGCCUUCUGGACUGACACUGACACUGAGGUGCGAAAGCGUGGGUAGCAAACAGGAUUAGAUACCCCGGUAGUC
rnacentral:rRNA from 1 species